rnacentral:tRNA from 21 species
UGGCCCGUUGGUCAAGCGGUUAAGACACCGCCCUUUCACGGCGGUAACACGGGUUCGAGUCCCGUACGGGUCAU